AUUGAACGCUGGCGGCAGGUCUAACACAUGCAAGUCGAACGAGUGGCGGACGGGUGAGUAAUGUAUGGGAAACUGCCUGCUAGUGGGUUAUAACUACUUGAAACGGUGGCUAAUACCGCAUACUAUCAGAUGAACCCAUAUGGGCUUAGCUAGUUGGUGGGGUAACGGGUCACCUAGGCGACGAUCCCUAGCUGGUCUGAGAGGAUGAUAGGCGACACUGGGACUGAGACACGGGCCAGACUCCUACGGGAGGCAGCAGUGGGGAAUAUUGCACAAUGGGCGCAAGCCUGAUGCAGCCAUGCCGCGUGUAUGAAGAAGGCCUUAGGGUUGUAAAGUACUUUCAGCGGGGAGGCGUUACCCGCAGAAGAAGCACCGGCUAACUCCGUGCCAGCCGCCGCGGUAAUUC
rnacentral:rRNA from 1 species